rnacentral:rRNA from 1 species
GACGAACGCUGGCGGCGUGCCUAAUACAUGCAAGUCGAACGCAGUGGGGACGGGUGAGUAACACGUGGGUAACCUCCCAUCAGAGGGGAUAACACUUGGAAACAGGUGCUAAACCGAUACUGAUGGAUGGACCCGCGGUGCAUUAGCCAGUUGGUGGGGUAACGGCGCACCAAGGCCACGAUGCAUAGCCGGCCUGAGAGGGUGAUCGGCCACACUGGAACGGAGACACGGCCCAGACUCCUACGGGAGGCAGCAGUAGGGAAUAUUUGACAAUGGACGAAAGUCUGACCGAGCAACGCCGCGUGAAUGAAGAAGGUGUUCGGGUCGUAAAGCUCUGUUGUUGGAGAAGCGGUAUCUGACCAGAAAGCAACGGCUAACUACGUGCCAGCAGCCGCGGUAAUUC